UACGGGGGGAGCAAGCGUUGUUCGGAUUUACUGGGCGUAAAGGGCGCGUAGGCGGCCUCUGCAAGUCGACUGUGAAAUCUCCGGGCUUAACCCGGAAAGGUCAGCCGAUACUGCAGGGCUAGAGUGCAGAAGGGGCAACUGGAAUUCUCGGUGUAGCGGUGAAAUGCGUAGAUAUCUGGAGGAACACCGGUGGCGAAGGCGGCAUCCUGGGCCGGUAUUGACGCUGAGGAGCGAAAGCCAGGGGAGCAAACGGG
rnacentral:rRNA from 1 species